AUGUUGACAUUCUACCAGAUGCCGAGAAAAAAUAAAAGAUCCCAGGCACAAAAGAAGCGCUGGAAACCACUUGACCUGGUCGAUCCUGCUGUCCCAAUGCUCACUGGCCACAACCAAGAUGAGGCAGUCAGUAGUUUUCCAUCUGACCAGACGGCACCAGCCGGGUUAUCUUUGGAAACACAGGAUAGACCCACCUCCUUAUGUUCCCCAGGUACCAAGACAGCACCAGCCAGCUUGUCCUUGGAAACUGAGAAUAGACCCACCUCCUCAUGUCCUCCAGGCAGCAAGAUUUCAGACAAUCGUCCACCAGCAAAAUGAGUCUGGGCAACUGAUGAUUUCCACACGGCAUCAAAUUCUCCACCUAAAAAGCCUUUCCACAACAUAAAUGAACAACUACUGACAGAGGAGCUACAGAGAAACGCAGUUCAGAACUUCUGGUGUGUCAGUGCAACUCAUUGUCAAAGUGAUGAAAGGUACACAGAAUUCUCUCGAAAUCAUCAGUGCACAUGUAAUGCCCUCACAUUCCUGGCCUACCUUAAUGAGGAACACCAGUUCAACACAGCCCGACUUGAUAAGGUGCUUGAACAGGGAGAUGCACUCUACUGUUGGAUUAAAACAAAUCUUCAGCAGGAGAGGCGUU
rnacentral:lncRNA from 1 species